rnacentral:rRNA from 1 species
GAUGAACGCUGGCGGCGUGCCUAAUACAUGCAAGUCGAGCGAACAGACGAGGAGCUUGCUCCUCUGACGUUAGCGGCGGACGGGUGAGUAACACGUGGAUAACCUACCUAUAAGACUGGGAUAACUUCGGGAAACCGGAGCUAAUACCGGAUAAUCUAUUGAACCGCAUGGUUCAAUAGUGAAAGACGGUUUUGCUGUCACUUAUAGAUGGAUCCGCGCCGCAUUAGCUAGUUGGUAAGGUAACGGCUUACCAAGGCAACGAUGCGUAGCCGACCUGAGAGGGUGAUCGGCCACACUGGAACUGAGACACGGUCCAGACUCCUACGGGAGGCAGCAGUAGGGAAUCUUCCGCAAUGGGCGAAAGCCUGACGGAGCAACGCCGCGUGAGUGAUGAAGGUCUUCGGAUCGUAAAAAUCUGUUAUUAGGGAAGAACAAAUGUGUAAGUAACUAUGCACGUCUUGACGGUACCUAAUCAGAAAGCCACGGCUAACUACGUG